GAUGAACGCUGGCGGCGUGCCUAAUACAUGCAAGUCGAGCGAACGGACCAGAAGCUUGCUUUUCUGAUGUUAGCGGCGGACGGGUGAGUAACACGUGGAUAACCUACCUAUAAGACUGGGAUAACUUCGGGAAACCGGAGCUAAUACCGGAUAAUAUUUUGAACCGCAUUGUUCAAAAGUGAAAGACGGUCUUGCUUUCACUAAUAGAUGGAUCCGCGCUGCAUUAGCUAGUUGGUAAGGUAACGGCUUACCAAGGCAACGAUGCAUAGCCGACCUGAGAGGGUGAAUGGCCAGACUGGAAGUGAGACACGGUCCAGACUCCGACGGUAGGCAGCAGUAGGGAAUCUUCCGCAAGGGGCGAAAGCCUGACGGAGCAACGCCGCGUGAGUGAUGAAGCUCUUCGGAUCGUAAAACUCUGUUAUCAGGGAAGAACAUAUGUGUAAGUAACUGUGCACAUCUUGACGGUACCGAAUCAGAAAGCCACGGCUAACUACGUG
rnacentral:rRNA from 1 species